CGUCGCUGCCGUGAUCGUG
rnacentral:snRNA from 1 species